rnacentral:sRNA from 1 species
GAGCGCAACACAUCGCCAGCAGAUGCUGGCACUGAAAGCCCUCAGGGGCUUCAGGUAACGGGGCCAUCUGCAAAGGUGGCCUUUUUACUUUAG